rnacentral:rRNA from 2 species
CCUAAUACAUGCAAGUCGAACGAACUUUGGUAUUGAUUGGUGCUUGCAUCAUGAUUUACAUUUGAGUGAGUGGCGAACUGGUGAGUAACACGUGGGAAACCUGCCCAGAAGCGGGGGAUAACACCUGGAAACAGAUGCUAAUACCGCAUAACAACUUGGACCGCAUGGUCCGAGUUUGAAAGAUGGCUUCGGCUAUCACUUUUGGAUGGUCCCGCGGCGUAUUAGCUAGAUGGUGGGGUAACGGCUCACCAUGGCAAUGAUACGUAGCCGACCUGAGAGGGUAAUCGGCCACAUUGGGACUGAGACACGGCCCAAACUCCUACGGGAGGCAGCAGUAGGGAAUCUUCCACAAUGGACGAAAGUCUGAUGGAGCAACGCCGCGUGAGUGAAGAAGGGUUUCGGCUCGUAAAACUCUGUUGUUAAAGAAGAACAUAUCUGAGAGUAACUGUUCAGGUAUUGACGGUAUUUAACCAGAAAGCCACGGCUAACUACGUGCCAGCAGCCGCGGUAAUACGUAGGUGGCAAGCGUUGUCCGGAUUUAUUGGGCGUAAAGCGAGCGCAGGCGGUUUUUUAAGUCUGAUGUGAAAGCCUUCGGCUCAACCGAAGAAGUGCAUCGGAAACUGGGAAACUUGAGUGCAGAAGAGGACAGUGGAACUCCAUGUGUAGCGGUGAAAUGCGUAGAUAUAUGGAAGAACACCAGUGGCGAAGCGGCUGUCUGGUCUGUAACUGACGCUGAGGCUCGAAAGUAUGGGUAGCAAACAGGAUUAGAUACCCUGGUAGUCCAUACCGUAAACGAUGAAUGCUAAGUGUUGGGAGGGUUUCCGCCCUUCAGUGCUGCAGCUAACGCAUUAAGCAUUUCCGCCUGGGGAGUACGGCCGCAAAGGCUGAAACUCAAAGGAAUUUGACCGGGGGGCCCGCACAAGCGUG